rnacentral:misc_RNA from 1 species
AAGUCGUAACAAGGUUUCCGUAGGUGAACCUGCGGAAGGAUCAUUAACAAAUCCCUGUUCAUUCUUGUAUUAUUGUAGAAACGUGAAUGUGGAUUUAUUCCAUUUCAUUUCUCCACAUCCAAUGCAAGAAUAACACAAGUUCCAUGUUGCAUUGUUUAUGACAACUGCACAUGACAUUUCUGCAAAUUAUCUGAUUACACAAUUACAAAACAAAACAAAUAACUUUUAACAAUGGAUCUCUAGGCUCUU